UCCAUCUAUAAAUACAUGACCAUGGUGCUAAGCUUGGGAGAUAUAGCAAUCCGUUCUACAAAGCUUAGAGCUUCAAAUACCUUCAGCUUUUCACGUUCAAAAACUCUCUCAAGAUCACCAUGUCUGACAAGUGCGGAAACUGCGACUGCGCUGACAAGAGCCAGUGCGUGUAAGUAACCCAUGAUCGAUGACAAACGUUGAGCAUUUCUAGGGUUGUGUCUGGUUUGAGAUUAUGUUGUUUAUGUUGUUAACUUGUUAUAUUCAUGAUUUUUAGCUUCAUGCAUGUUACAUGUUACUCUUAGGAUGAACAAAACCUUUUCGAUCCAAAACAUCUAUCAUCUUUGAAUUCCUCCCAUGGCUUUCUCAAGGACAACCGGUGGAAACUUGUACUAGUUGUUAUCUUUAAGCUCUUUGUAAGUUCGUGCAUGAGUUUUCAGUCAAUAUCAUUAAAACUAAGGCUUUUUCCGGUUUUUGCUUGCAGGAAGAAGGGAAACACCUUGGUCAUUGAGACUGAGAAGAGGUACAUAUACUUUUGCUCUUCAAGGAGUCUGAUACCUGCAAAGAAACAAACCAAUAAUACACAUAAAUUCCAUAUACAUAUGCUGCUAAGAUCUGAAACAUAUCCAUGAGAUUUUCAAACAAGCAAUCAAAAACUUCCCCGAUGCACGAUUUUCUACAAUCAGUUGGUUCAGCUCUUAUUAGUUCAUCAUAUAUGCUAAUACUCUAAUUUGUUAUUCUUGUGCAGCUACAUCACCACUGUCGCGGUGGAAACUCCAGCAGAGAACGAUGGCAAGUGCAAGUGCGGAGCCAACUGCACCUGCACAGACUGCACUUGUGGUCAUUAAGCAAAUCCUGUGUUCCAGUUCCUGAGAACAUUGGGACCUAAACAAUAAUGAAAAGCUGGGUUGAAUAAUCUGUGUCUUUUAUGUUAUAGUUUGUGGGUGUUUGUUUUCCUGUCUGCCAGUCAUGUUUGUGUCUCCUUAUAUACUGUGAUGAAAUGGCCAUGUCUAUGGCCUUGUCUGUUUAAAUGAAUUACUAUUAGAGUAAACUCUUUCGGCCUUUAUUAAAGCAUAAGCAUUCUCUUCAUAGCUAUAAUGAUCAGACUCCAAAAGAUAUGCUCCUCUCUAAGGUAACAGAUAAAUCAGGGUAUCAAGAGUUAUAUCAGGAAUGAUGCAUCCUUCCAAGUUUCAACUUUCAACAACAGUAACAAAUGGUGGAGCAAUGAAAUUGGCAUUCAAUAAAUGUUUUUAUUAACGUUGAAAUAUACAAGUUAUCAUGUUCUUACUCUUAAACAAGUAUGCCACAUAUAAACAAGC
rnacentral:lncRNA from 1 species